UACGAAGGGGGCUAGCGUUGUUCGGAAUUACUGGGCGUAAAGCGCGCGUAGGCGGUUUUGCAAGCCAGAGGUGAAAUGCCUGAGCUCAACUCAGGAAUGGCCUUUGGGACUGCGAGGCUUUGAGGACUGGAGAGGUGAGUGGAAUUCCCAGUGUAGAGGUGAAAUUCGUAGAUAUUGGGAAGAACACCGGUGGCGAAGGCGGCUCACUGGCUCAUAUCUGACGCUCAGGCGCGACAGCGUGGGGAUCAAACAGG
rnacentral:rRNA from 1 species